rnacentral:snoRNA from 1 species
AACUUCAACAGGAGAAUCAUUUCUAUAGUUGUCGACCUCUUCUUGGUUUCCCAAAGAAGCCACAGAACCCACCCUGGUUGAUGAAUCGAUACCCCAGCGCCUUAGAGUGAAGAAAAUGGUCAUCUUCAGAUUUCCAUUUGUGGCUCCCGAACUGUCUGAACAAGACGGCGGUCCUUAUCCUCUGGGAUUUGGGCUGUAGAGGGAGUGGUUGAUGAUCUCGUCCCCGUCUCUCGGUCGGCCUUUUGGCGCGAGGGCGGGGUGGGUGUUGGGGGAGUCUGACAGGC